CGGGCAGGCGCGACCAGAGGUCAGCCGCCCUGCAGAGGGAGAAAGAGAGAAGGAAAGAGACCUGGCCCACGAGCACACGCAACUAGGUCCAAGUGUCCUGCAAAGGAAGAAAGCAGACACACAGGCACGCGCGGCCAGAGACCAGAUGUCUUGAAAAGGGAGCGACUAAGCUAGCUUUGGGUACACUGGGCCAGCUCAAAACCGGCUGGCCGGUACGACCCAGGCACGCGUGAUAAAGGAUUUAGAGGCCAGGCCGGCGCAACCUUCCCCACAAACUCGGUCUCCCGCCCACCACCGCUGCCUGCCACCAGGGGGCACUCCCCGACCCAAGCAACGGAGAGUCACAGCUCAGAUCAGACAGGCCUGCACCUGGGCUCUUGCACCAGAGUUCGGAAACUGCCAAGUGACUCUGCUGGAGUUGGACAUGAAUAUAAUCCAGUACGUGGAGGCAGAAAGAGGAAGGAAGAUCAAGAGUUCAAGGAGGCUUGAGAGUGGGGGCAGAAGAAGAGAGAAGAGGCAAGAGAGGAGGAGAGAAGACAGAAGAGGAGGAAGCCUCCAUGGACCUGAACCACAUGGCCAGGAGAAACACUUUGACCCUUGCACAUAACAUGUCUCUGCUACGGAUGAAGUAAUGGAAGGGCCUCUGUUGUCCAUGUCUGUCGUUGUAAGGCCCCCACUUCACCUCUGUGGCUCCCAAGUGAAGCCUCGGCAUUGAGACACGAGUAAACUAACAACCUAUAAGCACUCCAGGAUAACAGCUCAGAUGUGAAAUUGGAGCUUUGGUGUACUGGUGCUCUUUGAAGUCUUUAAAGGACACUCGGUGUCUCUGAAGGCUGGCCUCAUCGCUGACUCUGAUGCAUCGUGUGCCAGCAGUGUAGCAGCUGAGAGCUGUCAGCUCAACUGCACUCACUGCCUCAGUGCUGAUUCACGGAGAGGGGACUGUGCGCCUCUCAGCUGGGAGGAGCCUUCGAGCAGAAUGACCUCCACCUCACUGCUGUCACCCGGUGCCACCCCACCAUUGUUACCUGGGUAACCCUGGAGCCUCAAUCCAGGCAUUUGAAGACCAGGCCAUGCAUGUCCCUUUAUUUCAUCUUUGACACACUGGAGAAUCGGGGCUCCAGAAGGUUGUGAACAAUCAGUCCAAGUGACUGGCAGAGACCAAGUAAGGUUCCUCCUGAGUCCUUCAGCCUCCCAAAAGCUUGGCCUGAGACCUCGCUCUUCAAAACCUGCCCCGCAGAUUUCAAGCACAGCACUCGAUUGCCAUCCCCUGUCUCUCACCCUCACCUUCCAAGUUCUGUUUUCUCAACACAAAAACAAAUACAGGAGAACAGAGA
rnacentral:lncRNA from 1 species